GUUGGUCCUGGCUCAGAACGAACGCUGGCGGCAGGCCUAACACAUGCAAGUCGAGCGCGCCCUUCGGGGUGAGCGGCGGACGGGUUAGUAACGCGUGGGAACGUGCCCUUCUCUAAGGAAUAGCCACUGGAAACGGUGAGUAAUACUUUAUACGCCCUUCGGGGGAAAGAUUUAUCGGAGAAGGAUCGGCCCGCGUUAGAUUAGAUAGUUGGUGGGGUAAUGGCCUACCAAGUCUACGAUCUAUAGCUGGUUUUAGAGGAUGAUCAGCAACACUGGGACUGAGACACGGCCCAGACUCCUACGGGAGGCAGCAGUGGGGAAUCUUGGACAAUGGGCGCAAGCCUGAUCCAGCCAUGCCGUCGUGAGUGAUGAAGGCCCUAGGGUCGUAAAGCUCUUUCGCCAGAGAUGAUAAUGACAGUAUCUGGUAAAGAAACC
rnacentral:rRNA from 1 species